rnacentral:tRNA from 1 species
AGGGGCGUAGUGAAGUGGUAUCACAAGGCUCUCCAAAAGCCUUGGCGGAGGUUCGAUUCCUCCCGCCCCUG